rnacentral:rRNA from 1 species
CCUACGGGAGGCAGCAGUAGGGAAUCUUGCACAAUGGGCGCAAGCCUGAUGGAGCAACACCGCGUGAGGGAAGAAGGGUUUCGGCUCGUAAAGCUCUGUUGUUGGAGAAGAACGUGCGUGAGAGUAACUGUUCACGCAGUGACGGUAUCCAACCAGAAAGUCACGGCUAACUACGUGCCAGCAGCCGCGGUAAUACGUAGGUGGGAAGCGUUAUCCGGAUUUAUUGGGCGUAAAGCGAGCGCAGGCGGGUGCUUAAGUCUGAUGUGAAAGCCUUCGGCUUAACCUAAGAAGUGCAUCGGAAACCGGGCAACUUGAGUGCAGAAGAGGCCAGUGGAACUCCAUGUGUAGCGGUGGAAUGCGUAGAUAUAUGGAAGAACACCAGUGGCGAAGGCGGCUGUCUGGUCUGCAACUGACGCUGAGGCUCGAAAGCCUGGGUAGCGAACAGGAUUAGAUACCCUAGUAGUC